rnacentral:rRNA from 1 species
UACGUAGGGUGCGAGCGUUGUCCGGAUUUAUUGGGCGUAAAGAGCGUGUAGGCGGCCACACAGGUCAGCUGUGAAAACUCGAGGCUCAACCUCGAGACGUCGGUUGAAACCGUAUGGCUAGAGUACGGAAGAGGAGAGUGGAAUUCCCGGUGUAGCGGUGAAAUGCGCAGAUAUCGGGAAGAACACCCGUGGCGAAGGCGGCUCUCUGGGACGGUACUGACGCUGAGACGCGAAAGCGUGGGGAGCGAACAGG